rnacentral:rRNA from 1 species
ACACAUGCAAGUCGAACGAAGUAGCAAUACUUAGUGGCAGACGGGUGAGUAACAUGUAGGUAUCUCGCCCUUUGGCCUGGAAUAACACGAGGAAACUUGUGCUAAUACCGGAUAAGUCUUUACGGAGAAAGCUUUAUGCACCAUUGGAUGAGCCUGCACUUGAUUAGUUUGUUGGUGGGGUAAUGGCCUACCAAGACUGUGAUCAAUAGCUGAUUUGAGAGGAUGAUCAGCCACAUUGGGACUGAGACACGGCCCAAACUCCUACGGGAGGCAGCAGUGGGGAAUCUUGCACAAUGGAGGAAACUCUGAUGCAGCGAUGCCGCGUGAGUGAAGAAGGCCCUUGGGUUGUAAAGCUCUUUCGUCGGGGAAGAAAAUGACUGUACCCGAAUAAGAAGGUCCGGCUAACUUCGUGCCAGCAGCCGCGGUAAUACGAAGGGACCUAGCGUAGUUCGGAAUUACUGGGCUUAAAGAGUUCGUAGGUGGUUGAAAAAGUUAGUGGUGAAAUCCCAGAGCUUAACUCUGGAACUGCCAUUAAAACUUUUCAGCUAGAGUAUGAUAGAGGAAAGCAGAAUUUCUAGUGUAGAGGUGAAAUUCGUAGAUAUUAGAAAGAAUACCAAUUGCGAAGGCAGCUUUCUGGAUCAUUACUGACACUGAGGAACGAAAGCAUGGGUAGCGAAGAGGAUUAGAUACCCUCGUAGUCCAUGCCGUAAACGAUGUGUGUUAGACGUUGGAAAUUUAUUUUCAGUGUCGCAGGGAAACCGAUAAACACACCGCCUGGGGAGUACGACCGCAAGGUUAAAACUCAAAUGAAUUGACGGGGACCCGCACAAGUAGUGGAGCAUGUGGUUUAAUUCGAAGAUACGCGCAGAACCUUACCAACACUUGACAUGUUCGUCGCGACUUUAAGAGAUUAGAGUUUUCGGUUCGGCCGGACGAAA